UACGAAGGGGGCUAGCGUUGCUCGGAAUCACUGGGCGUAAAGCGCACGUAGGCGGAUUGUUAAGUCAGGGGUGAAAUCCUGGAGCUCAACUCCAGAAAUGCCUUUGAUACUGGCGAUCUUGAGUUCGGGAGAGGUGAGUGGAACUGCGAGUGUAGAGGUGAAAUUCGUAGAUAUUCGCAAGAACACCAGUGGCGAAGGCGGCUCACUGGCCCGAUACUGACGCUGAGGUGCGAAAGCGUGGGGAGCAAACAGG
rnacentral:rRNA from 1 species